rnacentral:piRNA from 1 species
UUGAAAGAAUAAUGUGCUUGUGAAGUUGGU